rnacentral:misc_RNA from 1 species
UUAAGUUCAGCGGGUAAUCCUACCUGAUUUGAGGUCAAGUUGGUCAUUGAAUGGUUCGAAAGCGGUAGCAGCACGCACCAAGGCAUUGAUAGUUAUCACACCUGUGGUAGUCUUGCCCAGACACCGCUAAUACAUUUCAGAGGAGCAGACUUCAGCAGAAGCCUGCACUUCCCUCCAUUUCCAAGCCACAUCCAGAAACA